AAUUACAUGUUUCUUUCAUAUCCACAUUAAUGGUGUCACGAAUUCAGUCCAUGGACUUCUGUUUAUUCACCACCAGAGGUCACCCUUUCCAUUUCAUUGACUCUCGCACUACACAAACUGUUGCAUAGCACCCCGGACUACAUUUCCCAUCAUGCUUUGCACAAUUUGCACACUGCCCUGAUUGCACUCAUUGCACACAGCUGUUUCUAAUUACCUCAUUCACUAUAUAACACCCACUCUAACCACAUUUCUCUGCUGAGUAUUGUUUAGCCUGUACCCCUUUCCGAGUCUCCGUGUUUUCCUUGUUUUGCCUUGCCUUGCCUGUUUUUGAUCUUUGCCUGUUUUCUUGGAUUUCCCCCUCUCGUCUCGCCCCUGUGAUUCUGUCUGCUCAUCGGUGACCUACGCUAGUCCUGUGACUAUUCUUGUGUUUUGCCCGCCAUAUACCUGUUUGCCAGUGUUUGACCCUGCCUGUGAUGAC